rnacentral:misc_RNA from 1 species
GUGUGAGUGGUUUAAAAUAAUAAAAUCUGAAGAUUUGGUUUUGUAAUUUUUUAUGAAACCUUAAAUGACCAAACUAUAAUUAAAACCUGCGUAUUUGGAUUUGGUCGGUUUUGUUGGUUUCGAAUGUUUUUUGUGCAGCCCUACUUCUAGCUUUCAUAUAACCGCAAAUCUAGCUUUAAAAGGCAGCCUUGCAAGCUGUCCUACAUCAUAAUAGUCCCAGAAAAUUGGAUUUAAUGAAUAUUUUUGCGUAUAGAAAUUUGUCGCAUCUUUUGUUGCUGAGCUUAGAAU